AGUCCCAAAAAGCAUUCUGUGCGAAGCACUUAACGCCAAAAGUGAACAAAACAACACUUGCUCUAUUAACACGCCACACUGUCUGAAGGCAGUCGGCUUAACGAGAAACAAGAAUAUCCUACGUGUGGCUAAUUUGCGGUUAAGGAAGGCCCCAUGAUAUAUAAAGCCAAAAAAUAAAGCAAAACCGCAGCAGUUCAUUCAAAUUUUUUGUGGCCAAAACAAAUAUUAAGAUAAAAGUCAGUGGGGACUAUAAUUUGAGUUAUUCAAAUGCAAUAAAUCCGCGGAACCAAACGAGUUGCUAAUUUUACGUUAGACGCCCUUUAAUUUCACGCUGCCAUUUGUGGCUUCCGUUUCGUAUAAGUUUGGGUCGAUGAUUUUUAGAAUUUGCAUUUUCAAUUUGAAUAUAAAAAACCGCCGCUGCAGGUUUGCAGCUUUUAAAGUGAUCCGCAAUCUCAUUCCUAGUCAGUCGAAAAAAGUUCCAUUACCGAAUGACAUUUAUGAAGAAAUUGUGCAUAUUAAAUUGGGAUAUUGAUAAGUGAUAUCAUUGUUCCCAAGAAGUGAACGUCUAAACACAAAGGCAGACGGAUGAACAUUGCUAAAUGGACAGGCUUUCUUCUACCUCUUACAUACUUCUCAACGAAUCACAUAUACACUAUACUAUAAUGUGUUCACAAAAUACCAAAAAUGAUCAAGGUCUACACUCUAACGAUGUGCUGAAGUAGCUGCGCCGCAGAAAGAUAAAGCCUAAUGUGGAAAUACAAAUGUAAUUGCUUGCAGUUAAUUGACCCACAUACGAUUUCUAGACAUGGGGAAACGCCUCCCUAGUUCUCUCUAACCAAUACUUCUAGAUAAUCCAAUUUUGUGUUCACAGCGUGCGACCACUUAAAUUGGAACAUGAACUCUAACCCUAAUUGUCCACGCCUACUUCUAAAAACUAAAACUAAACCAUUCUGUAGAUAGUACGUAGUAGUCAAAACAAAGAGUUUAACUUUUAUAUGUAUAAACCUGUUUCACGCAUGCAAAUAAUAUAAGUUACUGUGUCAGCGACAAAAGGCAACAGGUGAAAUUGUCGCCCCAAGUCCAUGCUUUUAAAUCCCGAUCUCUACAUCUGUUUUUGUUGCAGCCAAGUCAAUGUCAAGUGUUGCUUCGGCUGACUUACUACAAAAGUUAAUUGCACUGCACGCACAUGCCAAAAGGUAAAAAGAGUCGCGAGCCUCGGCGACAGGCUUCCAAAACCCUGUAUAUCCACAUCACCAGACCUCAGGACCUCAACUUACGACUCUGGCUACGAGGCGCGUGUGUGCAAUAUCAGGUUUCCGCAUCGACUUGCAUAGUGAUUCGAGGAUGUGCGAAAAUAUGAUUUAAAUUAAGGGAUCAUCAGUUUGCAACAGACUAUUUGUAUACCUUCCUUUUAGAAUAUAUAUAUAUUUUUUAUAGAAAUAUGUAAUACUAGUUAAGUCUUCUAAAGGAAAUACAUUUUUACACGUU
rnacentral:lncRNA from 1 species